GAUGAAGAACGCAGCGAAAUGCGAUAAGUAAUGUGAAUUGCAGAAUUCAGUGAAUCAUCGAAUCUUUGAACGCACAUUGCGCCCGCCAGUAUUCUGGCGGGCAUGCCUGUUCGAGCGUCAUUUCAACCAUCAAGCCCCCGGGCCUGUGUUGGGGACCUGCGGCUGCCGCAGGCCCCGAAAACCAGUGGCGGGCUCGCUGUCACCCCGAGCGUAGUAGUUUACACCUCGCCCAGGGCGCGACGCGGGUUUCCCGGCCAUUAAACACCCCCCAUCUAAAGGUUGACCUCGGAUCAGGUAGGAAGACCCGCUGAACUUAAGCAUAUCAAUAAGCGGAGGA
rnacentral:misc_RNA from 1 species